AGCCACCGCCCCGGGAGCGCCGCGGGUUCCCGAGUCCGGCCGCCGGGCGCGGAGGGCGCGCGAACACGGCGGCAGGGGCGUGCUCGGAGGACGCGCGCGGGGCUGCUCUUCCAAAGGGCAGCUCCGGGGGAAGGGGGGUGGUGUCCCGGGGAAGCCCGUAGCCGCCGCCGAUGUCGCUGGGACUCGGAAGUGCCGAAAGAGGGGUGUUGGGAACUCGCGGCGCGCGUGAACGCUGCCGUCGCCGCCGCCCGGGACAGCCCGGAGAAACUCAGCGUGGGCAUCGGGAACUUUUGUGACAAGGAGCCAUGCUGCCCCGAUGGGAACUGGCACUUUACCUACUUGCCUCACUAGGCUUCCACUUCUAUUCCUUCUAUGAAGUUUACAAAGUGUCCAGAGAACAUGAAGAGGAACUGGACCAGGAAUUUGAGCUGGAGACUGACACUUUAUUUGGAGGACUAAAGAAGGAUGCGACUGACUUUGAGUGGAGCUUCUGGAUGGAAUGGGGGAAGCAGUGGCUGGUGUGGCUUCUCCUUGGCCACAUGGUUGUGUCUCAGAUAGCCACACUGCUGGCAAGAAAGCACAGACCCUGGAUUCUCAUGCUCUAUGGGAUGUGGGCCUGCUGGUGUGUGCUGGGGACCCCUGGCGUGGCCAUGGUUUUGCUCCACACCACCAUCUCUUUCUGCGUGGCCCAGUUCCGGUCUCAGCUCCUGUCAUGGCUCUGUUCUCUCCUCCUGCUCUCCACACUGAGGCUGCAGGGUGUGGAGGAAGUUAAGAGAAGGUGGUACAAGACAGAAAACGAGUACUACCUGCUGCACUUCACGCUGACAGUUCGCUGCCUCUACUACACCAGUUUCAGCCUGGAGCUCUGCUGGCGGCAGCUGCCCACUGCAUGUACCUCCUACUCCUUUCCCUGGAUGCUGGCCUAUGUCUUUUAUUAUCCAGUCUUCCACAACGGGCCUAUCCUCAGCUUCCCGGAGUUCAUCACACAGAUGCAGCAGCAGGAGCGUGAGUCCCUGAAGGCCAGCCUGUGUGUUCUGUCCCUGGGGCUGGGCCGCCUUCUGUUCUGGUGGUGGCUGGCCGAGCUCAUGGCUCACCUGAUGUACAUGCACGCCAUCUACAGCAGCAUCCCUCUCCUGGAGACUGUCUCUUGCUGGACCUUAGGAGGACUGGCGUUAGCUCAGGUGCUCUUUUUCUACGUGAAGUACUUGGUGCUCUUCGGUGUACCAGCUCUGCUCAUGCGCCUGGAUGGACUCACUCCGCCCACCCUCCCUCGCUGCGUGAGCACCAUGUUCAGUUUCACCGGGAUGUGGAGGUAUUUUGAUGUUGGCCUGCAUAAUUUCUUGAUCAGGUAUGUGUACAUUCCAGUAGGUGGGUCCCAGCAUGGCCUGCUGGGGACGCUGUUUUCCACGGCGAUGACAUUUGCAUUUGUGAGCUACUGGCAUGGCGGCUACGACUACCUCUGGUGCUGGGCAGUGCUCAACUGGCUGGGAGUCACUGUGGAGAACGGAGUCCGGAGGCUCGUGGAGACUCCCUGCAUCCAGGACAGUCUGGCCCGAUACCUCUCCGCACAAGCUCGCCAUCGAUUUCACGCUGCCCUUGCAUCUUGUUCCACCUCGAUGCUGAUCCUGUCCAACCUGGUGUUUCUUGGGGGUAAUGAGGUUGGGAAAACCUACUGGAAUAGAAUCUUCAUACAAGGCUGGCCGUGGGUGACCCUCUCUGUCCUGGGAUUCCUGUACUGCUACUCCCAUGUGGGCAUGGCCUGGGCCCAGACCUACGCCAUGGACUAAUGCUAUUGGGCUCAGGCCAGUCUUUGCUGCUGGCCUCCAAGGCAGGUGGUGUUUCACCCUGACCUCUCACUCCAGGACAGUCUCUAAGCGAUUUGAUCUUCUCAUCUUCUGUUGAAUAUCCUCACUCCAAGACUGGAAGCUGGAUCUCUCAUAGAAAAUUCACAGCCAGACAGUCUACUAAUUUAGAGUCUCUGAGAUCUACUCCAACCCAUUAUUUUCCUAUUGAACGUUGUGGUGCCUGGGCACACCGAAGAGUUCAGCCAGGGACACUGGACAUGUCAUCAGCCCUGGGCAACUUCAGGCACAGUGUUGGGAGGUUCCAAGGUCAGUUCUAGCCCCAGGAUCCUCUGAUCCCAACUAGCUCUGUGGGCAAGCCUGAGAGCUCCAAGCACAAUCGCCAAGACGCUACCCAAGGAGGGAAACAGGAUACCUGAAGGACAUCCAAACUUCAGUCAUGCUAAUUCUUGGGACCACACAGGAAGACUGAAAGUCAGUGCUGAGAGGAUCGUGAACUCUCCUCCAGGUGGAGGGCACGGGAGCUGGUGAAGGUAAUUUUCAUUGAAGCGAGAGAAGGCAGUAUAUAGAGCAAUAACAAUGAUUUAGCAACAGAGGGGGGCUGUCUGGGGCCUCAAGUGUGCCCUCAGUGGCCUCCUCUUUAAGCAACAGUAGGUGCUAAGGGAGGAGAGAGGAAGGGGCGUUGGCAGCUCUAUCACAGCUGGAGUUCCAUUCAAGGGUCUUAAGGCUAAAUGUCUUUAUUGCAAGACAUAGUACAAUCUAUUAAUCAAAUGCACAUCAGCAAUGUGUAGCUCCACCAGGGCUCUUAAAUUUCCCAGAGUAUGCAUGUGAGACAUAGUGGUCAGUGCAAUAAGGGGAAAUGGGGAUCUUCCUCCACCUAGUAUUCCUGAAGAAUUCACUUAGUCCUGAGGGCCUGGACAAAGGGCUUGACAGUUGGCAUAAUACCUCUACCGUCCAUCUAAGGAUUUGGAGAGGAAGCUUGCUGGAUGGGAUGAGGUGGUAUAGUACAUUUUUACCUCUGCCCAGCUCUCCACACUUUUGAAAGAGGAGGAUGCCAGGAAAGGGGCUGAUGUUUGGCCAACAGCAUUACGCUGGAUUGAGGCUGAGGGUAAAGCAGGCCCCCGGAACUGGAUCACAAGAAGAAAUCAAGUAAGAAAUGAAUCUCCAAAAGUUUGCUGGAAGGCUGCUAAAGGGGCUCAGCUUUUUAAACACUUGGGCCAUCCUGUAGCAUUAAUGUUGUAACCUUAUCGGCAUAAUGUAGCAUUGCAUUAAUUAAUACAAUUAGUUGCAUUAAUUGUACACUAGACAAUUUAGUUUCUUAACUAAAUGGUCCCCUUUGUCUCUGUCCUUUGGCUAUCUUGUCAUGUCCAGUGGAGGAGCCCUUUGUAAGUAUAUGGGAUAGCAGCGCCCACUGCUGGAGUCACUGCCCCCCUCCAAGAACAAACACACCAUCUUGCUGACCCUCUUCAUUCUUAGAGUCAACCCUCACCCACCCUUCCAUCAGCCAGGGAGAGAAUGUUCAACCAGCAGCCAAGUGACAGGGACAGGACCUCCCUACUUCAAAGCAGCAUGUCAGGAUAUUCUCUGGGAAAUGGAGCUUCAGUAUGAAUGACAUUCAAAGAAAAUAAUUUCAUAGAGAUUAAAAACCAGCACUUACUGGACAAUGGUGCCACAUACGAUGCCCCCUCUCCUCAAAAAGGAAAAGCAGAUCCUGGGCAAAUCUGUUCUUUCUUGGCAUACUUUUUCUGAAGUCUAAAUGUUCUGUCCCAUACCUACUAACUUUUUGUUUCCCUAAUCUCUCUUCAGCCACCAGAUAAUGGUUCAUACUGGAAGGGUCAGGUCAGUGGUGUCUGAAGCACAUGGUCCUGGCUCAGGAACCCAGAGUGGCAUCCUGGCAUGGGAAGGCAGUCAGCACAAAGCAGCCAAGUGCAUGACCCAGAAAGGAAGGGAGAAAGGUUUGGCUCAUUUACACAAUGUUUUUUCAGAGAAAACAAUUACAG